AUUCAUUGCUCAUUGCUUCCAAAUCCAAGGAACAGGCAUCUCGGAUCACUGCGCUGUGAGGGCAGGAGGACCCUUCUUUUGGAAAGCGGUAAGUCCAGUGUUCUCAACCCUGACCAUUGCUCAGCAUCAAGUGGGGAGCUUUUGAAAAAUACCCAGGCCUAGGUACCAGUCCCAGAGAUUCAGAUUUAGUUGGUCUUGGGGGAACUCUAGUAGCCUUAAUUUUUAGCAGCUUCCCCAGAAGUCUCUCAUCCGUAGGCAAGACUGAUAUCUACUAAAAAUGAUUUGGACCACAGGCAGUCUAGGGCAGUGGGAAGAACAUGGACUUUGGAGACAAGAAAUAAUGGAUUUAAAUUCACUGGAAAGGAUAAGCUCUGUUAUUUUAGACAAAUUUCUUAAAUUCUUUGAGUCUUAGUUUCUUCACUUGAAAAAUGAGGUUAAUAAUAUUUAUCUCUUAAGGCAAAUAAAUAGGAGUUUGUUAUGUAGAUUCCCCUGGUGCCAUCUUCAGACUGAUAAGGAUUUAAAGUUAUCUUCAGUAAUCAACCUUUAUCUUUCUUGGUAGAGAGGGGAGGAGAGACGCCUUACGUCCUGCUUUUAGGUUUUUAGGCACAUUUUAGGGGAGGGCAGAGAGCUUUUCUUGUAUCUGCUCUUUCUCAGUUGCCUUCAGCUCACAACAAUCCUCCUGCCAAAGUGGCAUAUUUUGGGGUGGCAUCUAUAGGCGUCUCCUAUAUGAAUCAAGACAGAGGGGUAUUGGUGAAUGGAAUGAGAAGAAAGUCCAGCCAUAGACCCACACAGGUGUGGUCAAUUGACAAAGAUGCAAUGGUAAAUCAAUGAAGAAAGGAUAGACUUUUCAACAAAUUGUGCUGGGAUAAUUGGAUAUCCAUAUGCAAAAGUAACAACAAAAAAUCUUGACCCUUGGCCCAUACCCUAGGUACCUAACUUUGUACCUUGUACAAAAAUUAACUCAAAAUGCAUCAUAGACCUAAAUGUCAAACCUAAAACAGUAAAACUACUGGAAGAAAGCUUAAGAGAGAAAAUCUUUGUGAUGUUGAGUUAGGCAAAAAUUUCUUAGAUACAACAAUAUCAGAAGCACAGUCCAUAAAAGAAAAAUUGAUGAAUCAGUGUUCAUCAGAAUUAAAGCCACCUGCUCUGUAAAUGACGCUGCUAAGGAAAUGAAAAGACAAGCCACAGGCUAGGGUAACGUAUUUGCAAAGGAUAUAUUUGACAAAUAACUUAAAUUCAGAAUAUAUAAAGAACCCUCAAAACUCAAUAACAAACAACCUAACCAAAAAAAUGGGCAACAGAUUUGUACAGGCAGCUCACCAAAGAACAUAUAUAGAUGGCAACUAAGCAUAGAAAAUAUCCUUAGCAUCAUUAGUUAUUAGGAAAAUGCAAAAUAAAACCACUGCACACCUAUUCGAAUGGCUAAAAAAAAUAAUGACAAUAUCAAGUCCUGGUGAAGAUGGAGAGCAACCACACCUCUCACAAAUUACUGAUGGGAGGGGAAAGUUCGGUGAAAAAGUUUGAUAGGGUAUCUCU
rnacentral:lncRNA from 10 species